GUUUUCUGACUGGGUAUGUUUCCUUCUGUAAUUUUAAUUUGUGGGAUUUUCUAGGGUUUUCCAGGAGCUAGGGGACUUGCGGGACCUAAGGGUCACAUGGGUGAUAAUGUAAUAGGACAGAAAGGACAACAGGGUGUGAAAGGAUUAGCAGGACCCCCGGGACCACCAGGAACAGUUAUUGUGACACUAACUGGCCCAGAUAACAAAACGGAACUCAAGGGGGAGAAGGGAGAAAAGGGAGCCAUGGGCGAACCAGGACCUCCUGGACCCCCGUUCACACAGGGACUGCCAGGCGAGUCGUGUGGAUCUGAGAAGGGUGCUCCUGGAGAACGUGGCGCACAGGUGAGUCUGGAAAUCCAGUGUUACACGCACCCUGACUCGUCGGGGCUCUUCUCCCUGUGACCACCUCGACCCUCCCUUCCCUGCUAAGCCCUCAGGAUAGAACCAGGGCCUCCCAUGUGCCAGACAAGUGUUCUACC
rnacentral:lncRNA from 1 species